rnacentral:rRNA from 1 species
UACGUAGGGGCAAGCGUUGUCCGGAAUCAUUGGGCGUAAAGCGCGUGUAGGCGGCUCGAUAAGUCUGCUGUGAAAGUUCAGGGCUCAACCCUGAAAUGCCGGUGGAAACUGUCGGGCUAGAGUCCGGAAGAGGCGAGUGGAAUUCCUGGUGUAGCGGUGAAAUGCGCAGAUAUCAGGAGGAACACCAUGGCGAAGGCAGCUCGCUGGGACGGUACUGACGCUGAGACGCGAAAGCGUGGGGAGCAAACAGG